rnacentral:rRNA from 1 species
AGUGAACGCUGGCGGUAGGCCUAACACAUGCAAGUCGAACGGCAGCACAGUAAGAGCUUGCUCUUACGGGUGGCGAGUGGCGGACGGGUGAGGAAUACAUCGGAAUUUACUUUUUCGUGGGGGAUAACGUAGGGAAACUUACGCUAAUACCGCAUACGACCUACGGGUGAAAGCAGGGGAUCUUCGGACCUUGCGCGAUUGAAUGAGACGAUGUCGGAUUAGCUAGUUGGCGGGGUAAAGGCCCACCAAGGCGACGAUCCGUAGCUGGUCUGAGAGGAUGAUCAGCCACACUGGAACUGAGACACGGUCCAGACUCCUACGGGAGGCAGCAGUGGGGAAUAUUGGACAAUGGGCGCAAGCCUGAUCCAGCCAUACCGCGUGGGUGAAGAAGGCCUUCGGGUUGUAAAGCCCUUUUGUUGGGAAAGAAAAGCAGCAGGUUAAUACCCCGCUGUUCUGACGGUACCCAAAGAAUAAGCACCGGCUAACUUCGUG